AACGCACAUUGCGCCCUCUGGCAUUCCGGGGGGCAUGCCCGUUCGAGCGUCAUAUAACUAAACUCAGGCUAAGGAUUGGCGGUGCCUCUCCUCUUGUUCGCCUGGUAUUGGGCAAGUCGGUUCAAUUCCGGGCCCUAAAUUCGUUGGCUAUAAAUUAGUAAAUGGGGAGUGCUGUAGCAUGGCGCCGGUCUAGUAUCGACAAAUAUUUGCCGGGCGCGGAGUUUGUAGGCCCCUGCCUUGCGCGUUCGCAUCGGUAACUCAAACCGAACACAAGUUUGACCUCGGAUCGGGUAGGGAUACCCGCUGAACUUAA
rnacentral:misc_RNA from 1 species